CCGAGAAGUGAGUGGAUCUUGCUGUUUGACCUUGUUCUAUUUGAUUUUGUGAGGUUGCUGCCAUAAUAAUGUUAGAAGCUUUCUUUGCUGCCGUGACAUUUUCAGAGCUUGCCGAACAAGAGGAGAAAUUUCGCGCAUACAUCCAGGAGAAGAGCCACAGAACUCACACCAAGAACAAGAUAAGAGCAGAAUAGCUAAAUACAAGGUGCCUGAAGUGAGGACUGCUACCAGGCCGUCCCUCGCCGACAUCUCUAGUGGCGGGUUCUUUAUCAGGAGGGUGGCACCACCAAGAGCUGUGCUGGUGAAGGGUGCUGUCAAGCCGCUGGUUCGACAGGCCCGGACAACAUCCAAGAACAAGGGGAAUGUUUGAGGACUGCACCAAAGAGGACGAGCCCCUUACCUUGGUACCCAAGGACCCCACUCCAUGACAUCACAUCAAUCGUCAAGGACUUACAAUGGUCUCCUCAUUGGCAUACAAGGAGAAGAAGACAGGACAAAAGAAUGGUAUGUCAAAGCAACCAGUGAGCAAGCACAAUUAAUGGGCCAAAUUUCCGUUCUGUAUUUCUCUUUUACCAUAUUGAUUUCUGCAUUUCUUUUGAUGUGAUAUGCCCUGAGUAAAAGCUAUCUGUUGUUUUUGGUCAAGGACUCAAGGGACAAGAGCUUUAUUUCAUUAAGCGAAUUACUUCAAGUGUCAGCUAACAUUAUAUUGAGACUCUGAA